UACGUAGGUCCCGAGCGUUGUCCGGAUUUAUUGGGCAUAAAGCGAGCGCAGGUGGUUUAUUAAGUCUGGUGUAAACGGCAGUGGCUCAACCAUUGUAUGCAUUGGAAACUGGUAGACUUGAGUGCAGGAGAGGAGAGUGGAAUUCCAUGUGUAGCGGUGAAAUGCGUAGAUAUAUGGAGGAACACCGGUGGCGAAAGCGGCUCUCUGGCCUGUAACUGACACUGAGGCUCGAAAGCGUGGGGAGCAAACAGG
rnacentral:rRNA from 1 species